CCGACAGAAAUUUUUAAAGAGAUGUCAUCGGUUGUUCAGGACUCUGCCCCUUCAAAUAUUAUGGUGAAAAAAUGGGAUGGACUGUUAUAACAAGGAAGAAAAUAUUCAGAAAGUCGAAAAAUCAGUACUGACUGAUCGAAGAAACAAAUUGUGGCAGAUAGUAGAAGGAUUACAGAUUAGCAAAGAACGAACUGGAGAAAUUUUGUUUGACCAUUUGAAUAUAAAAUAAAUUAGUGCGCGUUGGGUUCCACGUAUGCUCGACAAGUAGCGAUAUUUGGAAAGUUAUAAAGACUUUUUGGCGUUAUGCCAAGAUGAUAUGGAUAAAAUUUACAACCGCAUUGUAACUGUUGAUAAAAUUGAAUUCGUCAGUAUGAACCCGAGUCUAAACACGAGUCGGUACAGUGAUUAAAAAUGAGGGAAAACCAUCAAAAAAUUUCAAAGUAGAAAAGUCGGAGUCGAAGAUUAUGUCUACCAUAUUCUGGGAUAGCGAGGGAUAUUAUUAAUUGAUUACUCUUCAAAGGGAACUACAAUGAACGGCAGGAACUACGGGAUGAAGAUUUUCCGAUGACAGUGAGGUGAAAGCGGCCGUAGAAAACCAUUUUGACGAGAAAUCUAAAGAAUGUUUUUUCAGUGGUAAACUACUCGACAAGUCGAUAACUAAGCGAGGAAUGUUCAAAGGAAAAUGUGGUUCUAAAUCAAGUUCUACAUCAAUCAACGUCCUUUAAGAGGACUAUUAAGAAAACAUAUUGAUAUAUUUAUCGCUGGACCGUAGAAAACAUAGAAUUUCAUCACUGUUGAAAUACCAUAAAUUUUGAAUACAAUUAAUAAAUGAAAAUGUUAUAUAA